GAUGAACGCUGGCGGCGUGCCUAAUACAUGCAAGUCGAGCGAACAGACGAGGAGCUUGCUCCUCUGACGUUAGCGGCGGACGGGUGAGUAACACGUGGAUAACCUACCUAUAAGACUGGGAUAACUUCGGGAAACCGGAGCUAAUACCGGAUAAUAUAUUGAACCGCAUGGUUCAAUAGUGAAAGACGGUUUUGCUUUCACUUAUAGAUGGAUCCGCGCUGCAUUAGCUAGUUGGUAAGGUAACGGCUUACCAAGGCAACGAUGCGUAGCCGACCUGAGAGGGUGAUCGCCCACACUGGAACUGAGACACGGCCCAGACUCCGACAGGAGGCAGCAGUAGGGAAUCUUCCGCGAUGGGCGAAAGCCUGACGGAGCAACGCCGCGUGAGUGAUGAAGGUCUUCGGAUCGUAAAACUCUGUUAUUAGGGAAGAACAAAUGUGUAAGUAACUAUGCACGUCUUGACGGUACCUAAUCAGAAAGCCACGGCUAACUACGUG
rnacentral:rRNA from 1 species